rnacentral:rRNA from 1 species
GGGCGGGUGCUAUACUGCAGUCGAGCGAACAGACGAGGAGCUUGCUCCUCUGACGUUAGCGGCGGACGGGUGAGUAACACGUGGAUAACCUACCUAUAAGACUGGGAUAACUUCGGGAAACCGGAGCUAAUACCGGAUAAUAUAUUGAACCGCAUGGUUCAAUAGUGAAAGACGGUUUUGCUGUCACUUAUAGAUGGAUCCGCGCCGCAUUAGCUAGUUGGUAAGGUAACGGCUUACCAAGGCAACGAUGCGUAGCCGACCUGAGAGGGUGAUCGGCCACACUGGAACUGAGACACGGUCCAGACUCCUACGGGAGGCAGCAGUAGGGAAUCUUCCGCAAUGGGCGAAAGCCUGACGGAGCAACGCCGCGUGAGUGAUGAAGGUCUUCGGAUCGUAAAACUCUGUUAUUAGGGAAGAACAAAUGUGUAAGUAACUAUGCACGUCUUGACGGUACCUAAUCAGAAAGCCACGGCUAACUACGUGCCAGCAGCCGCGGUAAUACGUAGGUGGCAAGCGUUAUCCGGAAUUAUUGGGCGUAAAGCGCGCGUAGGCGGUUUUUUAAGUCUGAUGUGAAAGCCCACGGCUCAACCGUGGAGGGUCAUUGGAAACUGGAAAACUUGAGUGCAGAAGAGGAAAGUGGAAUUCCAUGUGUAGCGGUGAAAUGCGCAGAGAUAUGGAGGAACACCAGUGGCGAAGGCGACUUUCUGGUCUGUAACUGACGCUGAUGUGCGAAAGCGUGGGGAUCAAACAGGAUUAGAUACCCUGGUAGUCCACGCCGUAAACGAUGAGUGCUAAGUGUUAGGGGGUUUCCGCCCCUUAGUGCUGCAGCUAACGCAUUAAGCACUCCGCCUGGGGAGUACGACCGCAAGGUUGAAACUCAAAGGAAUUGACGGGGACCCGCACAAGCGGUGGAACAUGUGGUUUAAUUCGAAGCAACGCGAAGAACCUUACCAAAUCUUGACUUCCUCUGCCCCUCUAAAAAAAGAAUUUUCCCCUUCGGGGGACAAAAUGACAGGGGGGGCUGGGUUUCCCCCCCUCCGGCCCGAAA